rnacentral:rRNA from 1 species
UCUCCUACGGGAGGCAGCAGUAGGGAAUUUUCGUCAAUGGGCGCAAGCCUGAACGAGCAAUGCCGCGUGAACGAGGAAGGUCUUCGGAUCGUAAAGUUCUGUUGAAGGGGAAAAAGAGCGGAGAGAGGAAAUGGUCUCCGAUUGAUAUUACCCUUCGAGGAAGUCACGGCUAACUACGUGCCAGCAGCCGCGGUAAUACGUAGGUGGCGAGCGUUAUCCGGAAUGAUUGGGCGUAAAGGGAGCGUAGACGGCAAUACAAGUCGAAAGUGAAAUACCCGGGCUCAACCUGGGAACUGCUUUGGAAA